GACGAACGCUGGCGGCGUGCCUAAUACAUGCAAGUAGAACGCUGAAGAGAGGAGCUUGCUCUUCUUGGAUGAGUUGCGAACGGGUGAGUAACGCGUAGGUAACCUGCCUUGUAGCGGGGGAUAACUAUUGGAAACGAUAGCUAAUACCGCAUAACAAUGGAUGACACAUGUCAUUUAUUUGAAAGGGGCAAUUGCUCCACUACAAGAUGGACCUGCGUUGUAUUAGCUAGUAGGUGAGGUAAUGGCUCACCUAGGCGACGAUACAUAGCCGACCUGAGAGGGUGAUCGGCCACACUGGGACUGAGACACGGCCCAGACUCCUACGGGAGGCAGCAGUAGGGAAUCUUCGGCAAUGGGGGCAACCCUGACCGAGCAACGCCGCGGGAGUGAAGAAGGUUUUCGGAUCGUAAAGCUCUGUUGUAAGUCAAGAACGGGUGUGAGAGUGGAAAGUUCACACUGUGACGGUAGCUUACCAGAAAGGGACGGCUAACUACGUG
rnacentral:rRNA from 1 species